AGGAUAAACGCUGGCGGCGUGCAUGAGACAUGCAAGUCAAACGGACGAUCGGGGUUCGCUCUGAUCGUUAGUGGCGGACGGCUGAGUAACGCGUAGGUGACCUGCCCCGAAGUGGGGAAUAACUGCCCGAAAGGGUGGCUAAUACCGCAUGUGGUGGUGCGUUCGAUCGCACCAGUAAAGCCGCAAGGCGCUUCGGGAGGGGCCCGCGUCCGAUUAGCUCGUUGGUGAGGUAACGGCUCACCAAGGCGACGAUCGGUAGGUGGUCUGAGAGGACGAUCACCCAGACUGGGACUGAGACACGGCCCAGACUCCUACGGGAGGCAGCAGUCGGGAAUUUUGCGCAAUGGACGAAAGUCUGACGCAGCAACGCCGCGUGAGGGAUGAAGGCCUUCGGGUUGUAAACCUCUUUUUCCAGGGAAGAUAAUGACGGUACCUGGCGAAUAAGUCACGGCUAACUACGUGCCAGCAGCCGC
rnacentral:rRNA from 1 species